rnacentral:rRNA from 1 species
GGAAAUUGACGGGGACCCGCACAAGCGGUGGAUGAUGUGGAUUAAUUCGAUGCAACGCGAAGAACCUUACUACCCUUGACAUGUCCGGAACUUGCCAGAGAUGGCUUGGUGCCCGAAAGGGAAUCGGAACACAGGUGCUGCAUGGCUGUCGUCAGCUCGUGUCGUGAGAUGUUGGGUUAAGUCCCGCAACGAGCGCAACCCUUAUCAUUAGUUGCUACGCAAGGGCACUCUAAUGAGACUGCCGGUGACAAACCGGAGGAAGGUGGGGAUGACGUCAAGUCCUCAUGGCCCUUAUGGGUAGGGCUUCACACGUCAUACAAUGGUCGGUACAGAGGGUUGCCAAGCCGCGAGGCGGAGCCAAUCCCACAAAGCCGAUCGUAGUCCGGAUUGUUCUCUGCAACUCGAGAGCAUGAAGUCGGAAUCGCUAGUAAUCGCAGGUCAGCAUACUGCGGUGAAUACGUUCCCGGGUCUU